ensembl:lncRNA novel transcript
GGUUGAGCGUCUAGCCCAUCUCUGCGUGACUUCCGCCAGCGUUUAGAGCGUUUUCGGGGUCCGAGUUGAAGAGCAAAACCAAGUGAAGGAAACUUCACUAAGUUCAGGGUGACAAGGGAGGAAGUACAGAGAAACAGAGCGCUUAAAAAGCACUGUCUGGAUAUCUUCAGAGGGAAAAAGGAGAAAGUUAACUGAAUUGGUGACACUUCGGGUCUCUCACAGAGGAAGACCUAUUAGAGUGCUAAGGAGAAGACAAGUUAUUAGCACCCAAAAGAAGCACCAGUGCGGAUGGAAAUACAAGGUUGACAUUCGCUGAGCUGUGUUUUUUUUUUCCAGGGAAAUGGUUAUUCUUGAUAUUUUGAGCAAACUCUUCUUCUCUGAUCAGUGCCCAGAACAAGGAAACAGGUUAGUCUCUCUGAGCCUUAGAUUCCUGAUCUGUAAAAUAAAGAUUAAGGAUAGUUCAUUUUAAACAAGGGUAAUGCUAUUUUCUACCCCUUAGGCUUAUAAGAGGAUAUGUACAGAGCCUGGUGAGUUUUAUAUCAUCUCAUCUUGAAGGCAAUCAAAACUCCUUCUGGGCCUCCAUGACACCCUGAUGGAGUGUCAGCAGUUAUUAAAG